rnacentral:rRNA from 1 species
UCCCGCAAGGGAUGAGUAGCGUGGCAAACGGGUGAGUAACACGUGGGUGACCUGCCUUCGAGUGGGGGAUAACGUCCCGAAAGGGACGCUAAUACCGCAUGACAUCCUGCCUUUGAAGAGGUGGAGAUCAAAGCCGGGGAUUCGCAAGAACCUGGCGCUUGAAGAGGGGCCCGCGCCUGAUUAGCUAGUUGGUGGGGUAACGGCUCACCAAGGCAACGAUCAGUAUCCGGCCUGAGAGGGCGGACGGACACACUGGGACUGAGACACGGCCCAGACUCCUACGGGAGGCAGCAGUGGGGAAUUGUUCGCAAUGGGCGCAAGCCUGACGACGCAACGCCGCGUGGAGGAUGAAGACCUUCGGGUCGUAAACUCCUUUCGAUCGAGACGAAUGGCUUCCGGGCUAACAUCCCGGGAGAAUGACGGUACCGAGAGAAGAAGCCCCGGCUAACUCCGUGCCAGCAGCCGCGGUAAUACGGGGGGGGCAAGCGUUGUUCGGAAUUACUGGGCGUAAAGGGCUCGUAGGUGGCCAACUAAGUCAGACGUGAAAUCCCUCGGCUUAACCGGGGAACUGCGUCUGAUACUGGAUGGCUUGAGUUUGGGAGAGGGAUGCGGAAUUCCAGGUGUAGCGGUGAAAUGCGUAGAUAUCUGGAGGAACACCGGUGGCGAAGGCGGCAUCCUGGACCAACACUGACACUGAGGAGCGAAAGCCAGGGGAGCAAACGGGAUUAGAUACCCCGGUAGUCCUGGCCCUAAACGAUGAAUGCUUGGUGUGGCGGGUAUCGAUCCCUGCCGUGCCGAACUAACGCAUUAAGCA